GCCCGGAUGGCGGAAUUGGUAGACGCGCAGGACUUAAAAUCCUGUUGUCAGGAAUGACAGUACCGGUUCGAUGCCGGUUCCGGGUA
rnacentral:tRNA from 1 species